rnacentral:rRNA from 1 species
AGAACUUAGCAGAGAUGCUUUGGUGCCCUUCGGGGAACUCUGAGACAGGUGCUGCAUGGCUGUCGUCAGCUCGUGUUGUGAAAUGUUGGGUUAAGUCCCGCAACGAGCGCAACCCUUAUCCUUUGUUGCCAGCGGUCCGGCCGGGAACUCAAAGGAGACUGCCAGUGAUAAACUGGAGGAAGGUGGGGAUGACGUCAAGUCAUCAUGGCCCUUACGAGUAGGGCUACACACGUGCUACAAUGGCGCAUACAAAGAGAAGCGACCUCGCGAGAGCAAGCGGACCUCAUAAAGUGCGUCGUAGUCCGGAUUGGAGUCUGCAACUCGACUCCAUGAAGUCGGAAUCGCUAGUAAUCGUAGAUCAGAAUGCUACGGUGAAUACGUUCCCGGGCCUUGUACACACCGCCCGUCACACCAUGGGAGUGGGUUGCAAAAGAAGUAGGUAGCUUAACCUUCGGGAGGGCGCUUACCACUUUGUGAUUCAUGACUGGGGUGAAGUCGUAACAAGGUAAGCGUAGCGAG